rnacentral:rRNA from 1 species
GGGUGUGAUCAUACUAGUGUUAAUGCAUCAAAUCCCAUCAGAACUCCGUAGUUAAGUGCACUUUGGUUGGAGUUGUACCGAGAUGGGUGACCUCUGGCGAAGUCCCAGUAUUGCACCACG